rnacentral:rRNA from 1 species
GACGAACGCUGUCGGCGUGCUUAACACAUGCAAGUCGAACGGAAAGGCCCUGCUUUUGUGGGGUGCCCGAGUGGCGAACGGGUGAGUAACACGUGAGUAACCUGCCCUUGACUUUGGGAUAACUUCAGGAAACUGGGGCUAAUACCGGAUAGGAGCUCCUGCUGCAUGGUGGGGGUUGGAAAGUUUCGGCGGUUGGGGAUGGACUCGCGGCUUAUCAGCUUGUUGGUGGGGUAGUGGCUUACCAAGGCUUUGACGGGUAGCCGGCCUGAGAGGGUGACCGGCCACAUUGGGACUGAGAUACGGCCCAGACUCCUACGGGAGGCAGCAGUGGGGAAUAUUGCACAAUGGGCGGAAGCCUGAUGCAGCAACGCCGCGUGCGGGAUGACGGCCUUCGGGUUGUAAACCGCUUUCGCCUGUGACGAAGCGUGAGUGACGGUAAUGGGUAAAGAAGCACCGGCUAACUACGUGCCAGCAGCCGCGGUGAUACGUAGGGUGCGAGCGUUGUCCGGAUUUAUUGGGCGUAAAGGGCUCGUAGGUGGUUGAUCGCGUCGGAAGUGUAAUCUUGGGGCUUAACCCUGAGCGUGCUUUCGAUACGGGUUGACUUGAGGAAGGUAGGGGAGAAUGGAAUUCCUGGUGGAGCGGUGGAAUGCGCAGAUAUCAGGAGGAACACCAGUGGCGAAGGCGGUUCUCUGGGCCUUUCCUGACGCUGAGGAGCGAAAGCGUGGGGAGCGAACAGGCUUAGAUACCCUGGUAGUCCACGCUGUAAACGGUGGGUACUAGGUGUGGGGUCCAUUCCACGGGUUCCGUGCCGUAGCUAACGCUUUAAGUACCCCGCCUGGGGAGUACGGCCGCAAGGCUAAAACUCAAAGGAAUUGACGGGGCCCCGCACAAGCGGCGGAGCAUGCGGAUUAAUUCGAUGCAACGCGUAGAACCUUACCUGGGUUUGACAUGGAUCGGGAGUGCUCAGAGAUGGGUGUGCCUCUUUUGGGGUCGGUUCACAGGUGGUGCAUGCCUGUCGUCAGCUCGUGUCGUGAGAUGUUGGGUUAAGUCCCGCAACGAGCGCAACCCUUGUUCACUGUUGCCAGCACGUUAUGGUGGGGACUCAGUGGAGACCGCCGGGGUCAACUCGGAGGAAGGUGGGGAUGACGUCAAGUCCUCAUGCCCCUUAUGUCCAGGGCUUCACGCAUGCUACAAUGGCUGGUACAGAGAGUGGCGAGCCUGUGAGGGUGAGCGAAUCUCGGAAAGCCGGUCUCAGUUCGGAUUGGGGUCUGCAACUCGACCUCAUGAAGUCGGAGUCGCUAGUAAUCGCAGAUCAGCAACGCUGCGGUGAAUACGUUCCCGGGGCU